UGCGUAGGCGGCCCGUCAAGUCAGAGGUGAAAGGCAGUGGCUUAACCACUGUAAGCCUUUGAAACUGAUGGGCUUGAGUGCAGGAGAGGUAAGUGGAAUUCCUAGUGUAGCGGUGAAAUGCGUAGAUAUUAGGAGGAACACCAGUGGCGAAGGCGGCUUGCUGGACGAUGACUGACGUUGAGGCUCGAAAGCGUGGGGAGCAAACA
rnacentral:rRNA from 1 species